GAAAGGAGGGAGAGGAGGAAUGGGGGGAGAGGAGGAAGAGAGGGAGAGGAGAAGAGAGGGAGAGGAAAGGAGGGAGAGGAGGAAGAGAGGGAGAGGAGGGAGAGAGGGAGAGGAGGAAGAGAGGGAGAGGAGGAAAGGAGGGAGAGGAGGAAGAGAGGGAGAGGAGGAAGAGAGGGAGAGGAGGAAAGGAGGUAGAAGAGGAAAGGAGGUAGAGGAGGAAGAGAGGGAGAGGAGGAAGAGAGGGAGAGGAGGAAGGGAGGGAGAGGAGGAAAGGAGGGAGAGGAGGAAGAGAGGGAGAGGAGGAAAGGAGGGAGAGAGGGAGAGGAGGAAAGGAGGGAGAGGAGGUAGAGAGGGAGAGGAAAGCAGGGAGAGGAGGAAGAGAGGGAGAGGAGGCAGAGAGGGAGAGGAGGAAAGGAGGGAGAGGAGGAAGAGAGGGAGAGGA
ensembl:lncRNA